CACGUAGGCACCAAGCGUUGUCCGGAUUUAUUGGGCGUAAAGAGCUCGUAGGCGGUUCGGUAAGUCGGGUGUGAAAACUUUGGGCUCAACCCAAAGCCUGCACUCGAUACUGCUGUGACUUGAGUCCGGUAGGGGAGUGGGGAAUUCCUGGUGUAGCGGUGGAAUGCGCAGAUAUCAGGAGGAACACCGGUGGCGAAGGCGCCACUCUGGGACGGUACUGACGCUGAGACGCGAAAGCGUGGGGAGCGAACAGG
rnacentral:rRNA from 1 species